GUGAACGCUGGCGGUAGGCCUAACACCUGCAAGUCGAACGGCAGCACAGUAAGAGCUUGCUCUUACGGGUGGCGAGUGGCGGACGGGUGAGGAAUACAUCGGAAUCUACUUUUUCGUGGGGGAUCACGUAGGGAAACUUACGCUGAUACCGCAUACGACCUACGGGUGAAAGCAGGGGAUCUUCGGACCUUGCGCGGUUAAAUGAGCCGAUGUCGGAUUAGCUAGUUGGCGGGGUAAAGGCCCACCAAGGCGACGAUCCGUAGCUGGUCUGAGAGGAUGAGCGGCCACACGUGACAUUGGAAACGGGCCAGGCCCCUACGGGAGGCAGGAGGGGGGAAUAGUGGACAAUGGGCGCAAGGCUGAACCAGGCAUACCGGGUGGGGGGAGAAGGCCUUCGGGUUUUAAAGCCCUUUUUUUGGGAAAGAAAAGCAGCAGGUUAAUACCCCGCUGUUCGGACGGAACCCAAAGAAUAAGCACCGGCUAACUUCGU
rnacentral:rRNA from 1 species